rnacentral:rRNA from 1 species
AACCUGGUUGAUCCUGCCAGUAGUCAUAUGCUUGUCUCAAGGAUUAAGCCAUGCAUGUCUAAGUGUAUAUAAGUCUAUACUGUGAAACUGCGAAUGGCUCAUUAAAUCAGUUAUCGUUUAUUUGAUGGUCCCUUACUACUUGGAUAACCGUAGUAAUUCUAGAGCUAAUACAUGC